rnacentral:lncRNA from 1 species
CAGAAACACCUCAAGUCUGAAAACAAGCUGAUUCCCAGACUACACCGACAGCCUAUUGAACUUCUGUGGAUGAAACUCUGAAAGAUGGCCUUCAAACAAGUUCCAUAUUUGAGUUUUACACCCAUUACAGUUUGGGAACUUUGUAACAGUGAAUAAAUCCCAAGACAGUACUACCACUGUCAGUAUUUCCAGGAGUAAGAAGAAAGACUGGGUCCUUUGCUUUCUUUUCUCUGCUGAUGUCACCCCAUUUUAUCCAAGUGGAAUUCUUGGAUGAGACAGGACACAUCCAGAAUGAUUCAUCUGAAUUGAAGUGUCCACCCUCACAAUUAUAAUACUGACAGCAACAAACUGCCAUUUGCCCUUCUGAGUUUUGUAAUGUCUCUCAACAUUCCUGAAGUUUUAAAAGACUGAGUGUUUUCCCCUUUGCUGUCAGAUGCCUGCCACUCUGAGCAAAUCCCUAGCUCCAAUCACUUGUUACCAGGGAACUAGUCAUAAACAAACCUGACCCACGAGCCAUCAAUCCCUCCUCUUUUCCACCUUGACAAUUGUUGUGAAUAUUUGGAACAUGUUCCAAACAUUUAUAUUUAUUAUCCUUACAACAAUCUUGUGAGAAAUUAUCUCCAUUAUAUAGAUGAGGGAACCAAACCAUCAAGAGGCUACAUAAGUAAUAGAACUGGUAUUUGACUAGACAGUCUGACUCCAAUCCCAAUACUCUCAAGAAGAGCUCAACAUGUACAAACUCAAUGCUCUAAGCUACUAGGAAAUUAUAAUUCUAAGUAGUUGCCAAUUGAAUAUAGUUGUUUAGAGUUUAAAAUCUCCUAACUAUAACGUUAACAAGCAUGUACAUGCAGACCAACCAGAGAGGAAUUAUUUGAUGACUAUUAGACCAUUCAGCAUCAUUCAUCCAUUAUAGAUAACUUCAUGAGCUUCUGAGCUGAUAACAACAGCUAACAUUUGUUAAGCACUUGCUGCUGCAAAGAACUGUUCUAAGUGCUCUAAGCACUUUAAUUUGAUAAAUCCUCCCAACCUUCCUCUGAGGUUGAC